ACGAACGCUGGCGGCGUGCCUAAUACAUGCAAGUCGAACGGUCUUUUCUAUGGAAGCUUGCUUCCACUGAGAAGAUAGUGGCGGACGGGUGAGUAACACGUGGGUAACCUGCCCAUAAGAGGGGGAUAACAUCCGGAAACGGGUGCUAAUACCGCAUAGUUUUCUUGAUCGCAUGAUUGAGAAAGGAAAGACGGCCUUUGUGCUGUCGCUUAUGGAUGGACCCGCGGCGUAUUAGUUAGUUGGUGAGGUAACGGCUCACCAAGACGAUGAUACGUAGCCGACCUGAGAGGGUGAUCGGCCACAUUGGGACUGAGACACGGCCCAAACUCCUACGGGAGGCAGCAGUAGGGAAUCUUCCGCAAUGGACGAAAGUCUGACGGAGCAACGCCGCGUGAGUGAAGAAGGUUUUCGGAUCGUAAAACUCUGUUGUCAGAGAAGAACAAGUCGGAGAGUAACUGCUCCGGCCUUGACGGUAUCUGACCAGAAAGCCACGGCUAACUACGUGCCAGCAGCCGCGGUAA
rnacentral:rRNA from 1 species